rnacentral:lncRNA from 1 species
CCUAGAAGUAGCACAUAAGUGCUGGGAAUAUCUUCAACUGAGUGGAUCCUAAAGGGAUCAGACAAACGUUAAGUUCUCCAGGAAAAGCAGUGAAUUCUUCAGGGAAACUCCAGUUUGAGUCAAACAUGUAGAUUAAGCCCCUGAACCUUAACUGUCUACCCACUCUGAACCUUAAACUCCCCCCCCCCCCCCCACUUCCCAGAAAACCAAAAAAGGAAGAUUUGCCAAAGAUUUAAGGAAAUCUACCAGGGCCUUCACUAUUUCUGUUGUUUUUAUAUGUAACACAAUAGGCAUCUGGAAGAACCAUUAGUCCUGUGGUGGAAAAAUCACCAUGUGCAAGCUGAGAUCCAUGGACUUCAAAGACAACAUAAACUAUUCUGCAAUAUUGGUUAUUUUACAGUGGUUUUUUUUUGUUUGUUUGUUUUUCCUUUUUUAAUAUUGAGUGCGUACCUUGAGAUAAUUCCUGUUCAUUGUGCUUUUAGAGACAACCUUUCUACUCUAAAUGAGAAGUAAUCUUACCAUCGUUACUAGAGAAGGAAAUUGGUGUGAAUCAGAACAGUUCCCUGAUAACAUAGAAAAGUGAACACAGUCAAAAAAUUCAAUGCGAGCAAGUUCUCACUGUAAGAACAGGAGUUUUAUUCAAAAAUAUUUAUAUCCAUGAAAUCCCUCUUACUGUCAGAAUUCAAUGUCUUUUCUCUCUUCACUGCAUUUGGUAAUAAUAAAAAUAUAUUUUCAGAAGAUUGCA